CUUGAGAUAAAUUAUCAAAUAGGAAAUUGCAUACCAUUAGCC
rnacentral:sRNA from 1 species